rnacentral:lncRNA from 2 species
CUAGUGAGCUUCGCCGCAUUUCAUCCAUGGGAACGUGAUCUACUACCUCUGCCUGAUACAUCCGUGUCUUUGAAAUCUCAUUUCGCACAGGUCGAACACCCUGCGUCGAGCUCGUCGUCGCUCCCGACGUCCAGAGCGCCGCCUUGCGUCGCAUCGCCGUUCCCGUCCAUCCGGUGGAUCUCUGGCCGAGCCACUGCGCCAACGACGUCGCCUAGGUCCAGGGAGAAAGACGCCCAGGAAGAUCGAAGCCAAUACACCGCCGUUGAGGAGAUCGAACUCUUCUUCCACAAGUCCGGCCGCCGGAUAUCGUCGUCGAAUCCUUGCAUCCGAGCCGAAGCAUGGGGAGUGGUCGUCGCCGUCGCUCUGCCAUUCUUUGCCGCCACCGGAGUACUUCUAAGGUCGCCAUCACCGUCCAUCCAUCACCGACCCACAGGCGAUAUUCCACUAGUGGUCACCGCCGCUCGCGCUGCCUCCGGCCAUCUCCGGCGACAAGAUGAACAUCGUCAGGUGCGCAAGAGCCUGGCACACUUUUCUCCUUUUGGGUGCGACGUCGGACUCGCCGCCGUUCGCCGCCAACGUCGACGUCAAGCCCGCCGGCCGGUGAAGCUUGUUAGAGUAUAUGGUAGUUAGAGUUAUAUUAGGAUAGGAUU